AAGUAAUAAUUAUGUUUAUAGUACAAUUGUGUCAAGUGAAAACCGAAGAAACGGCACCAUCAUUUUCCCCCAGAUGUUGGGAAAGUUACCUCUGUGAAGCAUUUCCUGCACGUCUAAGACGGGAUUAAUAAUAAUUAUUCUGAAGUAGUUGUUAAGAGAUUAAAAUAUAUUGAAAUACGAGUACGAAAUUCAAGUGCGUCGUUUAAUUCGAUACUAUUAAAAAGUACAAACUUUCUGUGCUGAAACAUUAAAUGCAUAGACUUAUAUUGCCCUAGUUAUAUAAAAGUCACACG